rnacentral:lncRNA from 1 species
AUUCCGUUUGACGUGUUCUGUGUCCUGCUGCUGGAUGCUGUGAGGAGAGCUCAGGCAAGCUCUGAAGUCCCAACAUGUAUUGCCACAACAACCCCAGUAGAAUCGGUGUGACAAGUUCCACAGAUUGAGGCGGAAACUUCAAAGGAAGGAGACCUCCUGGGACCGGCUGUGGACUCUUCAUGGCAAUUUAUCUGUUCUAUCAUCUUCUCUUCCCUUUCCGUAUUUACAAGAUGUUCCUGAUGGCCUAGGCUGAGAUUUUAAGUGAGAAAAAUGGAUAAGAAACCAUCCUUGAGAGAGGGGGAUCACUAACCAUGGCCUUAACUCUGGGAAAACCAGUGUUUUACUUCAUAAAUCAUUUGUAAAAUUACAAAAUAAUAUUAUGACAAAAAUUUCCCAACCAUAAAAUUUCACAUGGCUAUACAUGAGUCAUCAGAAGUGGGCUUUGGUGUAUGGUAAAGAGAGCCUUAAAUU